rnacentral:rRNA from 1 species
UACGAAGGGGGCUAGCGUUGUUCGGAAUCACUGGGCGUAAAGCGCACGUAGGUGGGUCGCUAAGUCGGGGGUGAAAUCCUGGAGCUCAACUCCAGAACUGCCUUCGAUACUGGCGUUCUUUGAGUCCGGGAGAGGUGGGUGGAACUGCGAGUGUAGAGGUGAAAUUCGUAGAUAUUCGCAAGAACACCAGUGGCGAAGGCGGCUCACCGGCCCGGUACUGACACUGAGGUGCGAAAGCGUGGGGAGCAAACAGG